rnacentral:rRNA from 1 species
AUUGAACGCUGGCGGCAUGCCUUACACAUGCAAGUCGAACGGCAGCAUGAUCUAGCUUGCUAGAUUGAUGGCGAGUGGCGAACGGGUGAGUAAUACAUCGGAACGUGCCCUGUAGUGGGGGAUAACUAGUCGAAAGAUUAGCUAAUACCGCAUACGACCUGAGGGUGAAAGUGGGGGACCGCAAGGCCUCAUGCUAUAGGAGCGGCCGAUGUCUGAUUAGCUAGUUGGUGAGGUAAAGGCUCACCAAGGCGACGAUCAGUAGCUGGUCUGAGAGGACGAGCAGCCACACUGGGACUGAGACACGGCCCAGACUCCUACGGGAGGCAGCAGUGGGGAAUUUUGGACAAUGGGCGAAAGCCUGAUCCAGCAAUGCCGCGUGUGUGAAGAAGGCCUUCGGGUUGUAAAGCACUUUUGUCCGGAAAGAAAUGGCUCUGGUUAAUACCUGGGGUCGAUGACGGUACCGGAAGAAUAAGGACCGGCUAACUACGUG